CACAACAGCCACAACCAACAACUGCUCUGUGCUUUCCAGUAAGCCAAACUUCACCCCACUGGAGUUAGUUGAUUAUGUUGAGGAUGAGGAAACUAUAUCAGAAGAGAUCAGAAACACCCCACCUUCACGAUCCAUCAGCUGGAUUCCAACAGCUGUGGUGAGAAGUUCUUGGCAUCAGUCUGACUGUCACA